rnacentral:rRNA from 1 species
CUUCCGGAGUUAACGCGUUAAAUCGUCCGCCUGGGGAGUACGGCCGCAAGGUUAAAACUCAAAUGAAUUGACGGGGGCCCGCACAAGCGGUGGAGCAUGUGGUUUAAUUCGAUGCAACGCGAAGAACCUUACCUACUCUUGACAUCCAGAGAACUUAGCAGAGAUGGUUUGGUGCCUUCGGGAACUCUGAGACAGGUGCUGCAUGGCUGUCGUCAGCUCGUGUUGUGAAAUGUUGGGUUAAGUCCCGCAACGAGCGCAACCCUUAUCCUUUGUUGCCAGCGGUUCGGCCGGGAACUCAAAGGAGACUGCCAGUGAUAAACUGGAGGAAGGUGGGGAUGACGUCAAGUCAUCAUGGCCCUUACGAGUAGGGCUACACACGUGCUACAAUGGCGUAUACAAAGAGAAGCGACCUCGCGAGAGCAAGCGGUCUUCAUAAACUAUGUUGUAGUCCGGAUUGGAGUUUGCAAUUGGACUCCAUGAAGUCGGAAUCGUUAGUAAUCGUAGAUCAGAAUGCUACGGUGAAUACGUUCCCGGCCCUUGUACACACCGCC